rnacentral:RNase_P_RNA from 1 species
GGUAGAGAGAGCCCGGCCACCGCUGCCCCUCGCGGGGCGAGCGAGGAAAGUCCCCCCACCGUCCGGGCAGGCGACUGGACGCAAGUCCAGAGCGGGAGACCGCUGGCGCUGGAACAGAAACGACACCCCUCACCGCGAGCAAGGACGCGCGCGAACCGACCCGCGAGGGAAGGGAGUUAACCCGCAGAGCGCUGACCGGUGAGAACGGAUGGAACGGCGAAUCCUCGCCGGUGCAAGUCCACGCCACAAGGUAGCCCGGACACGGACGUGGACGCUCAGCCGAAUGCCGGGCCGAACAGAAGGGGGCUUACUCCUCUCAACC